AUGGAGAAGUACGAGGCGGUGCGGGACAUCGGGUCGGGCAACUUCGGGGUGGCGCGGCUGAUGCGCAACCGCGAGACCCGCGAGCUCGUCGCCGUCAAGUGCAUCGAGCGCGGCCACCGGAUUGACGAGAAUGUCUACAGGGAGAUCAUCAACCACCGCUCGCUGCGCCACCCCAACAUCAUCCGCUUCAAGGAGGUGGUACUGACGCCAACAAAUCUUAUGAUUGUCAUGGAGUUCGCAGCAGGUGGGGAGCUGUUUGAGCGAAUCUGUGAUCGUGGGCGGUUCAGUGAGGAUGAGGCAAGGUAUUUCUUUCAGCAGUUGAUCUGUGGUGUGAGCUACUGCCAUCACAUGCAAAUAUGCCAUAGAGAUUUGAAGCUGGAGAAUGUUCUCUUGGAUGGCAGUGCAGCUCCACGGCUCAAAAUAUGCGAUUUCGGCUACUCCAAGUCAUCAGUAUUGCAUUCAAGGCCCAAAUCAGCAGUGGGGACGCCAGCAUAUAUUGCACCAGAGGUGCUAUCCCGCCGUGAGUAUGAUGGAAAGCUUGCAGAUGUGUGGUCUUGUGGGGUGACUCUUUACGUCAUGCUUGUGGGAGGCUAUCCAUUUGAAGACCAGGAUGACCCCAAGAAUAUACGCAAGACCAUUCAGCGAAUAAUGUCCGUGCAAUAUACCAUACCUGAUCAUGUCCACAUAUCCAUGGAAUGCCGACAGCUUAUGGCCCGUAUCUUUGUUAACGUCCCAUCGAAGAGAAUCACAAUGAGGGAGAUAAAGAAUCACCCAUGGUUCCUGAAGAACCUACCAAGGGAGCUCACAGAGACAGCGCAGGCCAUGUACUUCAGGAGGGAUAACGCGGUGCCUUCUUUCUCGGAGCAGACUUCAGAAGAGAUCAUGAAGAUCGUCCAGGAGGCAAGGACCAUGCCGAAGUCAUCCAGGCCAAGCUAUGGUUGGGGCGAUGAGGGUUCGGACGACGAGGAAGAGAAGGAAGAGGAAGAGAGACCAGAAGUGGCGGAGGAGGAAGAGGAGGAUGAGUACGACAAGAGGGUCAAGGAGGUUCAUGCAAGCGGAGAGCUCCGCAUGAGCUCGCUACGCAUAUCAUGA
rnacentral:rRNA from 1 species